CUUUACCUAGCACACUCAAAAUCCUUUGACUACAGAGCUUUUUAGGAGAGCUGCUUCUCAGAAAUGGAGCCCUCAUCCACUUAAUCAUCCACUCUGAUUUUUAUGGGCUACAAGGGUGUCCUGAGUACAUGAUGUUAGAGACACUGUCACCCCAGUCAUUCUACAGUUGGAGUGCCCUCCAGUGUGGUCCUGGGAUAUGAUGGCAUGGCUGAUACACAGGAGACCUGCCGUUGGCUACCAGGAAAUGAAGCCUUGCUCUGGACAGUCUCCCGGUGCCUUCCAGUAUCCAGAAAGGCUGGGACCAGAGUCCUGACAUCCAGUAGCACGGUGUGAUGGAGUCUAAAUGUUCAUCAUGGCUCACGUCUAAGGCCUAGUGCAGUGUGUCCCAAGCUGGAGUCAUCUGAAGGGGUGUGGAUACACAGAUUGCUGGACCCCAAUCUCUAAGGAUACUGGUUCCAUGGUCCCAAGUGGACCUGAAAAUGUGCCUAUCAGGUUCCCAGGUGCUGCUGCUGAGCUAGGAGCUUACUGUGAGACAGAUUGUCCUACACCAAUUCCCUCCCAUUCUACAGGUGGCGAGGUCACAGGGAGUCAGAGGUCAGCACCACCCAGAGAGAGGCCCAACCUUUUAAAUUAAAGUCCCAGUGGUCAGGGAUGAGCUGACAAAGAUGAACUAACCUGAAACUCCUCCCCCGUGGAGGGCCAUCUCCCCUCCUCUCCCCUGAGAGGGCAUCUGUUUUGAAUGUGGAUUUGAAUGAUUCGGUCCCAAGCCUUGUCGCCCACCCCCAACCCCCACUGUGGGCUCUAGGCACCAGUUAUCCUGAGUAAACACGGAUACAGGAGCGCCUGGCCCAGAGGGAGACAGGCAGAGAACACAGGGGAAAGCUAGAGGGGUUAAAUGCUUUACAUUUGACUGGGAGGAGAGAGCAGGCAAGACUCUGGCCCCUUGAGAGGUUUGGAGGACCAAGGGAUGAGGAGCCGUCUCAGAAGCUUUCUCGGAUCAUUUCCUGUCCUCAACAGGCAGGCUCCUUCCAGCCAUACUUCCGAAUUGAGCGUGAAGGUGGACUGUUUCUCUUCCCAAAGCUUGGGGAUCCCAUCCAGCUGCAUUGUUAACGACCUAGGAGGGCCUCUUAUAAAGGCUGUGCCUGCCCCAGACUGACUUGCUGGCUUGAGUGUGCUUGUGUACAAACACAGAGAGAGCAAGACGCUUCCUGAGGAAACACAGUGAAAUGCUUUGGAAUGAGAGACUGCUGUGUCAGUGAGGGUACGCUGUAUGGAACCUCAAGAUGGAUAGUGGAAGGGUCAGCUUAUUUACCCUAGAGCUCAGAGAGAAAAUGGACCACAGGAAACAUGCUGCAUACACCUGGACAGGACGUAACCAAGGAGACCAUGCAUGAAGAGCCGAGUGUAAGUCUGGAAGAGAUGAUCAGCGUGGGGAGGGACCCAACAGCUGUGUCACAGAGCUGAGAUGAUCGCCUGGGAUGAGUGGCUUGGCUUAGUGUGUGUGUGUGUGUGUGUGUGUGUGUGUGUGUGUGUGUGUGUGGUAGUUAGACUGUGAGGGUACAAACAGCUCCUGCUUCUGUGGCUCUGGCUUUCAGGCCCACUCAGGAACAGGAAACAAGGUCUGUCUAAGGAAGGGAGCCAGGAUAAGAACCUGCACACCUUCAGGGAAAGUGUGGGUUAGGAAACAAAAUGAAAUAAAACUACCUGUCUGAUGGCUCAGCAAGAUACUAGGAACGCAGAUAUUUCCUCUGCUGGGCCCUUGGUGAACCAGGGCUCUCACACAGGUUAAAUCUGAAUCUGUAUAGCCCAGAAGGAUGGAGACUCACAAGCUAAAGUCUUCAGAUAAAAGGGAACCCAGGCUGCUUACCAGUUUGAUUUACCCCGAGAGUAAAAGUGGUAAUCCUUUGCUGAAGGACUUCUCCAGAAUCUAGGAUGAGAGGAAUUGCACAGAGUGCACAAGCCACAGUAGAGAUGAGAACACUGCCCACCAUGUUCACGAGAUGGAGGAUGCGAUGACCAGGACCAGCGAGCCUGGAAACUGGGGUAUGGGAAGGUAAAGGAAAAAUAUGAGCUUGUCUAAAUUUAAUAAAGAAUGUGCUUCAAAACAAAAACAAAAACAAAACAAAACCAACAACUUUUAAAAAUUCCAGCACUUGGGAGGCAGAGGAAGGCAUAUUUCUGAGUUUGAGGCCAGCCUGGUCUACAGAGUGAGUUCCAGGACAGUCAGGGCUACACAGAAACCCUGUCUCAAAAAACCAACCCCUCCCUCAAAAAAUAAAAAGGAUGUGCUCAUAAAUGACACAUAUACAAAGUUGCUUACUGCAGUGUUGCUUACAAAAACAAAGCAAAGCAAACAUGAGGAGAACCUGGACACAACAACCCAUGUGCUUGUUUGGAGGACUGACUAAAAAACAAACAAACAAACAAACAAAAAAACAGAGCAAACCAACAGUGAAGAAAUAUCCCAUGUUUACUAAUAUGAACCAAGGGAUGUCUUAGUAAUUAAAAACAACGUUUAUAUACUUAGCCAUUUGAUUAAAGAAGUGUGUGCAUGUGUGUGUGUGAAAACAAUUUAUAUUUGUGUGUAUAGUAACAUUGAACAAUUUUUAGAAAACUAAUACAUGGUGCUGGGUAGGUUAUAAGCCUGGGGGAAGAGAGAGCCACUGGGCCUGGCUUGAGUGUUUCAAACCCCAAAUGUAGUCUCUCCUCCCCCAGCCUGAAACCUGCUUGCUCGGGGUGGAGCUUCCUGCUCAUUCGUUCUGCCACGCCCACUG